AACAUUCCUAUUCUUAACCUAGGUGCCUGCUGGGAGCGCAGAUUUAGUCUCCGGCUCCCCCAGCCAGAAUGCGCCGAGAUGCAACCCCAAACAAACCCCUCGUCUUCCCAUCGCUGCAGCUACUCCUCAGGCCGAGACGUACAGUAAAAGAUGAUGAUAAAUCCAGCCGGGCCAGCCUGUUAUUUUCACCUUCCAUUGUUGGCCAGGCUCAUGCACAAUGACCACAAUGAAAUUCAAGGCAUCCGGCUAUAACCACUUGGCGUCGAACCAAUAGUUAUUGGAUUGGCUUGAUGUUUUGCUGACAAUUACUACGUAGUAACUAGAUGGAGCGCUGCACCCCUCCGAGAUCUCCCGCUCAAUCCCUACCCUUUGCAUUAAUCUGCCCUAUACGUAGUAUACUGUAGUAUGGUCAACUUCCUCGUUUGGCCACUACCUACCCAAAAAUCGAUUUCCCUAGCGAUUUCGCGAUUCUUGGACCGUCCAGUUCAAAACGUGCCCAAUAUUCAGUAUCUACUAUUUGAGUGUUCAUAUAACAACAGUAGCAGUGACGCCGAUCGGGGCGACCAAGCAACUAGGCGAUAAAUAGUAGAAAACCACAUUUUUUUCCCCCCGUCUGGUGCGAAAGAAGAUCUUGAUUCAAGGAUUGGCACUGGAAUAUACCCAGAAAGGGAAAUACUCUUUGGUUUUUCGGGGUAGAUUGGGAACAAAUAUAUCAUGUAACUACCCAAUCUUUCCGUACUUGUGAGCUGUGAUCCAGCGAAUUUACAAUAGGCCAAAAGGAUCAAGCAGAUAUACAACGAUUCAACAGUCGAAUGAACGAGAAAUAGCCAUGAUGGCAUGGACAAGCGAAUCAAGAUCCGCGAUUUCAUAGAUGCGGUCGUUGAUGUUGGUUGGUUUACUCAUACGUAGUAUGCUGGCGGUGCACUGGUUUAAGGCCACCGGCCCACAUGCUUACGCAUGCUCAUCAAGACGAUCUUCUCGUAAAGUCGUAUAUGAUGGGGAAUUUCGUCUUCGUAUGUAGUAGGUACGAAUACUCCGUACAUAGUUAACUACCUCUUGUUUCUACUACUGUAGUAUGUACGGAGUAUCUGGAGCAAGUUCAGGACGGAGCGGAGCAUCCCGCCGGUUGUCCCUCCUAUUCAAGGGUUAAGCAUGUAAAUCACCGUUAAGGUUUUUAAGCAUGAUUCACCACAUCCUUUUUCUGACGCAUUAGCUGUACAUAG
rnacentral:lncRNA from 1 species